rnacentral:rRNA from 1 species
GAUGAACGCUGGCGGCGUGCCUAAUACAUGCAAGUCGAGCGAACGGACGAGAAGCUUGCUUCUCUGAUGUUAGCGGCGGACGGGUGAGUAACACGUGGAUAACCUACCUAUAAGACUGGGAUAACUUCGGGAAACCGGAGCUAAUACCGGAUAAUAUUUUGAACCUCAUGGUUCAAAAGUGAAAGACGGUCUUGCUGUCACUUAUAGAUGGAUCCGCGCUGCAUUAGCUAGUUGGUAAGGUAACGGCUUACCAAGGCCACGAUGCAUAGCCGACCUGAGAGGGAGGAGGACCAGACUGGAACUGAGAGACGGUGCAGACUCCGACGGGAGGAAGCAGUAGGGAAUCUUCCGCGAUGGGCGAAAGCCUGACGGAGCAACGCCGGGUGAAUGAUGAAGGUCUGCGGAUCGGAAAACUCUGUUAUUAGGGAAGAACAUAUGUGUAAGUAACUGUGCACAUCUUGACGGUACCUAAUCAGAAAGCCACGGCUAACUACGUG